rnacentral:rRNA from 1 species
UACGUAGGUGGCGAGCGUUGUCCGGAUUUACUGGGCGUAAAGCGCGCGCAGGCGGUUCUGUAAGUCCUGGGUGAAAUCGCCCGGCUCAACUGGGCGGGGGCCUGGGGGACUGCGGGACUGGAGGGGCCUAGAGGCCGGUGGAACUCCCGGUGUAGUGGUGAAAUGCGUAGAGAUCGGGAAGAACACCAGUGGCGAAGGCGGCCGGCUGGGGGUGCCCUGACGCUGAGGCGCGAGAGCGUGGGGAGCGAACCGG